AAGGCUUCUGAUCAAAGCAUACUGUUUACUAAUCAUUAAGUCUGUGGGAGGUUAAAAGUUAACGUAUAGAUUUUUGACUGCCCUGAGAGUUGGUACCCCUAACUCCUGUUUCUUCAGAGGUCAAACUGUACACGACAUCAGCAGUUACUCGGUGCCUCAGUGCCAGGAACACUGCAGAUGAACGCUCCUGCCCACCGAAGGUUUCCAGUCAGAACGUGAUUGGCACACAUGACUGGCAUGAGGUGUUGGGAGCCUGCCAUGUUAUUCAUGAGAGCAUAUUCAUAAGAUGGCACCCGCCUGCCGCCUCCGCUGCUCCCCCGCCCAUCGUGUGCCCAAGAUGGCGCACACAUCCUGCUUCCUGGUUCUUGCUCGGCUUACUGUCCCCGCCAUAUAUGGUAAUGAUUGAUUGCUUCCUUG
rnacentral:lncRNA from 1 species